CCUCUCCUUCCAUGCCGCACAUCCUCCUCCCCCUAAACAGCCGUGAGCAGUCCCUUCUCCACCUCUCUCAUGGUUUUGACCCCGUUGAAGUGCCGUUCAUUCUGGAAGUCAUCGCCGAGGUUCCUCGUGGGUCAGAGCAACGCAAGUGAAACCCUCCUUUGAUCAUGUUGAUCCAAUAAAGCAAGCGCUUGAGUUUCAGUCAGAAGGUUGAUCCC